UACAGAGGGUGCAAGCGUUGUUCGGAAUUACUGGGCGUAAAGCGCGUGUAGGCUGCUCCGAAAGUCGGAUGUGAAAGCCCUGGGCUCAACCUAGGAAGUGCACUCGAAACUUCGGAGCUGGAGUCCUGGAGAGGAAGGCGGAAUUCUCGGUGUAGAGGUGAAAUUCGUAGAUAUCGAGAGGAACACCGGCGGCGAAGGCGGCCUUCUGGACAGUGACUGACGCUGAGACGCGAAAGCGUGGGGAGCAAACAGG
rnacentral:rRNA from 1 species